rnacentral:rRNA from 1 species
CCUACGGGGGGCUGCAGUGGGGAAUAUUGGACAAUGGGCGAAAGCCUGAUCCAGCCAUGCCGCGUGUGUGAAGAAGGCCUUCGGGUUGUAAAGCACUUUCAGUGGGGAAGAAAGCCUUGGGGCUAAUACCCUCGAGGAAGGACAUCACCCACAGAAGAAGCACCGGCUAACUCCGUGCCAGCAGCCGCGGUAAUACGGAGGGUGCGAGCGUUAAUCGGAAUUACUGGGCGUAAAGCGCGCGUAGGCGGUCUGAUAAGCCGGUUGUGAAAGCCCCGGGCUCAACCUGGGAACGGCAUCCGGAACUGUCAGGCUAGAGUGCAGGAGAGGAAGGUAGAAUUCCCGGUGUAGCGGUGAAAUGCGUAGAGAUCGGGAGGAAUACCAGUGGCGAAGGCGGCCUUCUGGACUGACACUGACACUGAGGUGCGAAAGCGUGGGUAGCAAACAGGAUUAGAUACCCCAGUAGUC